CAGCACUUGAUACUAACUGAGCCGCCUGUGUCCUAGCCUAGUGUCGCAGGCGUGCGCUGGGUGCCGAUAGAUAACUAGGUUGAACAAGUGCCGUAGUAAAGCAGAACCCUGAGUCUCUAAGCCCAGUGUGUAAGACACAGUUAUAAAUCGGUGGCACACCU